rnacentral:rRNA from 1 species
AAUGAACGCUGGUGGCAGACCUAACACAUGCAAGUCGAACGGUCUAUAUUAAACUUCGGUUUUUUAUAGAUAGUGGCAAACGGGUGAGUAAAGCAUGGGAAUCUACCUAGAAGUUUGGAAUAGCUAUUAGAAAUGAUAGAUAAUACCAAAUACACCUCGAGAGGGAAAGUUGACUUCGGUCUUCGCUUUUAGAUGAGCCCAUGUUAAAUUAGUUAGUUGGUAGGGUAAUAGGCCGUACCAAGAUGAUGAUUAUAGCUGGUCGUUAGUAGGAUGAUCAGCCACAACUGGAAUUAGAGAUACGGUCCAGACUCCUACGGGAGGCAGCAGUGGGGAAUAUUGGGACAAUAGGGCGCAAGCCGUGAUCCAGUCAUGCCACGUGAGUGAUGAAGGUCUUAGGAUUGUAAAACUCUUUU